rnacentral:lncRNA from 1 species
UGAUCAAAGGCCUGUUUGGCAUCCAGCAUGAAAAGAGGUGUUUACAUUAUCAGUGAAUCAGGCAUAACAACGUUCCCAUCACUCCUUUCAUUCAUCUGUCAAUAAGCACUGAUUAUACCCUUGUUAGGUGUGGGCAUUUAUGUCUGGGACACAAAGAUAUUUAACAUAUGGUUGACAACUCUGAGGAACUCUGUCUAGCUGAUCAUACAGACCAAGACUAAACAAAGCAAGACAAAUUAUUACAACACAAUGUAAUAAUGCUCACCUAGAAACACACACAAAGUGACAGUUAAGAGAAGAAGCAACUGACGACUCAAAAAAGGGGAAUUUGAAGGAAUUUGAAUCUAGUAAGCCAUGAGUCAGUGAAAAGAUAAACUGAAGCUAAGGUUGAAUAAGAAAUACAUUUUUAAAUUUGUAGAGCAGUGCCAGGUUAUAAAGGGCUGCAAACAUCAAGCAGAGUAUUUUACAUGUAGUAUAACAGUUUACAGGAUCCCUACAAGUUGUACUGUUGAAGUGAUUUAUUCCUGUUGUUUGUUUUGGAUUAGACCAGAAGCAACAGGCCCACAGGACCGGAAGAAUCAGGGAACCACAAGUGAGGAGUUAGGGCAUUGACUAGGAGAACAGAUGUGAAGUGAAGAAAUGAGCUGCUGGAAUAGCUGUGGUGGCUGAGAAAGAACAAACCCGAAAGUAGACCUGGCAAAAGAAGUGGAAACUUCGGGUCCUUCUCAGCUGAUUCUGUAUGUUAUAACAUCUGCUGAAGGUAGCUGGGUUGACACCUCAAUGCUACACAUUACUAGUCACUCAAAAUACCUUCUGGAUUAGGAGAAAAAAUAUAAGGCCAUCUUGAAGGUCAUAUCCUAGGAAGAUUUAUGCAAUGGAAGCCCAGCAGUGUACAAUAUGGGAAACAGAGAGUUGGCAGGAAGAGUUUCAAGGGCAAGCUUCAAAGAAUGCCCAUUAUAUUAUUCACUCUCCAUAAUUCUACCAGAAAUGCAAUCAGUGGUUACCUUUCUCCUAGUCUGUAGGGUUUGUGUUAUUCAUCUUUUUACUUGAGACUGUAUAUUUCGUGAGGACAAGAUCUACAUUUGAUUUGUCUUUAAAUACACUCAUGCUGAAUGAUUUAAUUAAGAAUCUCUGUAUUAUGGAGUGACAUUGCACCACAAAAUUCUGCCCAUAAAAGGUGAGUCAAAAAUCUUCAAAAGAAGCCGCACCUUCUGAUGUACAGAACAAAAAGAAGUUGUCACAGGAGAUAGCAGAUGCUGGAAAUCCUGAUACUCGCUCUGGGUGGUGUUGACUUCCUACUGAAGGACACAGAGAAAGCCAGAUGCAAGUCUGACAUGGCUAAUUGGGAGGUGUGUGGUCCUCUUGGAGCCUUUUCUUGAGAUGUGACAGAGUGCCUGCCAAGACUAAUCAAACCCAACUGCUACCCACUUCUGCUGAAUCAUAUGGGGCUGCAUUGCAGCAUCUGAAGGAACCUGGGAUUUAUCUCUCAUGAUGUUGAAGCCCUAGAUAGGAAAUGGAAAGUCUGGGAACACAGGUGGUGUUUUCAUUUCUCUCUGCAUUCGAAGGCUAUAACUUUGGAAAGGACGGAGGAAGGGAGAUGAAAGUAAAUGGUGUUAGAGAACAGGAUUUCUUUUUUCUAGAUCAAGGGUAACAAUACCUUGUUGUUGGGCCAAACACAAGAUUCAGGUUACUUAGACUUACUGGGCCAGAGGUGUUCUGACUCAAUCAAAAAGAAUUAAAACUGAAAUUAAUUUAAAAUUCAAAAAGAUGGUAUAGUAAACAAUUAUGACAUAGAUGGAAGAAUUAGUGGAGGGAUUUCUAGUAAUUCUAAGGAGAAAAACAAUAGAAAAGCAAUAAGGAAUUAGAGUCAAGUCCCCAGGUGUCCACACAACAAUGCAGUGAAUGUGAAUAAUUAAUGAGGAUAAAUUAAUAUUUAAACAUAGCCAUAAAUGUGCAUUCCGAAGAAUCAUGUAGAUCCAAUGCAAUGAAAGAUUCCUGGCUAGAAUAUAGCAUUGAGAAGAGAAGGGAAUAUUAUAGAAAGGAAGAUGCAUCAGACACAUACAAAAAUAUGAGACUUGAAAAGAUCAAUAGUUAAAGAAAUAAACCUAAGUAUUUGAAUUUAGGCUCAGAAACUGACUGCACAAAAAUAAAUUAAGAAUGUUCUAGUUUAAGAGAUUUUCAAAUAAAAAGGAACUGAGGAUUUUGAUUCUAUGACAAGGUCCAGAUAAGUCUGUGGAUGCCAGAGGCAAAUGCGGUCAUAAGCUGGGUGUCAUAUCUCAUGUCUCCUACGCUCUGCACUGGUAUGAUCUUAUCUGUAGUAUUUUGCCCAACUCUGGACACCGCAUUUAAGAGUGUCCCAGAAAAAUGUCUGAAGGAGUAUGAGCACUAGGAAUGAUGACAGGUUUAGAAACCAUGUUAUAUGGAAAACAGUUAAAGGAACUGUGGACAUUUAUUCCAAGGAACAACAAAAAAAAGUAACUUAGGAGCCACAUGAUGCUGCCUUGUCUAUGUGAAGGGCUGUCAUUAGGCUGGAGAAUUAGGACUUCGUGUGGUUGCAGAGGAAGGAACUCUAACCGGUGAUUGUGGGAUUCCAGAGAAACAGAUUUGGAUGAAUACAAAUAGGGCUUUCUAAGAGUGUCAGUGUCUUGUUAGUAGGGGGACCUCCUUGAUAUUAGGAAGUUACCCUGCAGAAGUGAGAGAACCACUCUGCAAAGGAAGAAAGCUGAAUCUCGAAGCCCCUUUUCAACUCUAUUAGCCUAUGUCCCUGUGACCAGAUAAGGGAAAUAAAGGAAGUAGAUGAAUUAAAACUAACUCCUAGGUGUGGGGGCUGCAUGCUUUGGAGGAGGUGGUAUUACUCACAAAGAGACAGGUAAAUGGGGAAGAGGAGCCUUUGGGAGGGUAGAUGGUGAGGCUGAGUUUGAGAAAAUGGCAGAUGCUCAAAUGGUUUCAAAAUUAUCAGUUUAAGUAGCUUUGAAUCCAGUUAACUUGGUUCUUUUCUUUGGAUUUGGCACUUAAAAGCCUCCCUGGUUAUGUUACUUAGUUUCAUGAGUUAUGAAGGUGAAGAGAAAGGAGCAGGAGAAAGCUAGUAUUUAAGAGUAAAAGCAGGAGUCAUUACUAGGCCAUAUAUAAUCCAAUUGAAAUUUCAGAGCAGGGUAGUUAUUAUUUUGUUCAUUUUGCAGAUGAAGAAAUUAAAGUUAGAGAAGUUACUAAUUUGUCUAAUUCAAAGUACCGGUAGGUAGAAAUAGGAUUCAAACCUAUUUCAUUUAAAAAAAUAAUAUCCUGUACAAAGGGAAUACAUAUGCAAGUCUAUCGGCAAACAAAUUUGAAUGUGUCACCAUUACCAGCAAAAUAAAUAAAAGUGUUUUAAUAGUAAGUAUACAAGUAUAAAGGAGAGCUCUUUGGACUUAGCAGAUGCACACAAAAUGCAUUUGGAACUACAUGAUAGGAAUCAUUCAAAUCAUGGAUUCUAAGUACUGAAAAACAGGAUGUAACUAAAACUUUUAGCAUAAUAGAAAUAAAAAAUAGAAUAUUUUACAGUCUACUGCUUUUUUUUAUAAAGGAAUAGAUAAGAACAGAAAAAAGACUUUCUGAUCAAGGAAAAGUAUGCUCAUUUUUAUUCCAUAAAAUAGUAAAUAUUCAUAUCCCCAAUUUGUAUAUUUAUAAAUUAAUAAACUGUCAUUUAUCUGAAUAAAGCUCAAAUGACUAGAUUUUGUUUUACGGUGAAGCAGACAUAUUUACUUAUGAAGAUGGCCU